rnacentral:rRNA from 1 species
AAAAACACAGGUCUGUGCGAAGGCGUAAGCCGACGUAUACGGGCUGAGGCCUGCCCAGUGCCAGAAGGUUAACUGAGAGGAUAACCCCGAUUUAUUCGGGCUAGUCUUUGAUUGAAGCCCUGGUGAACGGCAGCAGUAACUAUAACUGUUCUAUGGUAGCGAAAUUCCUUGUCGGGCAAGUUCCGACCUGCACGAAUGGCGUAACAACUUUGGAACUGUCUUGAGGAGGGACUCGGCGAAAUUGAAAUGGCUGUGAAGAUGCGGCCUACUGACAACAGGACAAAAAGACCCCGUGGAGCUUUACUGUACCUUGACACUGAAUUUUAUGUUUUGACUGUGUAGCAUAGGCGGGAGCCGCAAGGCGACAAGUGUAAUACCGCUCUUUGAAACGUGAGAUUCUUACUUAUCCCUCUGGAUCGAGGGAGAGGACACUGUCUGGGAGGCAGUUUAACUGGGGAGGUUGCUUGCUAAAGAGUACCGCAAGCGCGCAAUGGUAUCCUAAUUCCGGAUGGAAAUCGGAAUGAUAGUGCAAGGGCAUAAGGAUGCCUGACUGUGAGACAUACAAGUCAAGCAGAGACGAAAGUCGGACCUAGUGAUCCUCGUGUACUUCGUGGGAGGUACCGGGCUUAUCGGAUAAAAGCUACCCCGGGGAUAACAGAGUAGUUGCACCUGAGCGUCCACAGCGACGGUGCAGUUCGCUACCUCAACAUAUCGGGGUCCAUAGAUUGUAAAAUCUAUGUGCUGUUUAGAUAUGAAAUAAUCUAAGAAAACUAACUCAUAACGGUGAAACCUUCAUUCAAAAGAACCAAUUUGAUUUUGCGAACAUUUAAAAUCAAGUUACUGAAUAUGGUAAUACCGUGGGAAGUCGUUCCAAUUUAUUGGGAUUGACCCCGUAUCGACUGGAGGUCCCGCUAAGCGGGACUGAAGAUAGGGAUAUUUAUCUCUAUAAAACGUUAGCAUCCGCCUCAGGCGGAUGAAGGUAUAGUCAAAAUUGAUUGGAAACAAUCAAAUCAUCAAUUGAGCGAUGUCGGCUCAGCGCAUCCUGGGGCUGGAGAAGGUCCCAAGGGUUGGUCUGUUCGCCCAUUAAAGCGCUACGUGAGCUGGGUUCAGACCGUCGUGAGACAGGUCGGUCUCUAUCCGUUGUCAGCGUUGGAAUUUUGAGGGGGGUUGUCCUCAGUACGAGAGGACCAGGAUGAGCCAUCCGCUAGUGUUUCUGUUGUAGCCGUCAGGCGCAUAGCAGAGUAGCUACGAUGGUGAGUGAUAACCGCUGAAAGCAUCUAAGCGGGAAGCACGCCCCAAGAUGAGAAUUCCUGUACGACGCAAGUCGUACGAAGAUCCCCAGAAGACCACUGGGUUAUCGGCAGGAAGUGUACGCACAGCAAUGUGUUUAGCUAACCUGUCCGUAUGAUCAAACGAAUAGCUUGA